AUCAUUACCCUUCAUCAGAGAGCUGGGUCGCGGGCUUCUCGCUCUGCCCAGCCCUCUCUGACCCCACCCAUGCCUUUUGCGUACUAUUUGUUUCCUUGGUGGGCUUGCCCGCCAGCAGGACACCCCUACAACCUUUUGCAAUUGCAGUCAGCGUCAGUACAACAGUAAUAAAUUACAACUUUCAACAACGGAUCUCUUGGUUCUGGCAUCGAUGAAGAACGCAGCGAAAUGCGAUAAGUAGUGUGAAUUGCAGAAUUCAGUGAAUCAUCGAAUCUUUGAACGCACAUUGCGCCCCUUGGUAUUCCAUGGGGCAUGCCUGUUCGAGCGUCAUUUGUACCUUCAAGCUCUGCUUGGUGUUGGGUGUUUGUCCUGCCUCUGCGCACGGACUCGCCUGAAAGCAAUUGGCAGCCGGCACUUUGGCCUGUAGCGCAGCACAUUUUGCGCCGCUGGUUUGAGGUUGUUGGCGUCCAUGAAGCCUAUAUUUUUGCUCUUGACCUCGGAUCAGGUAGGGAUACC
rnacentral:rRNA from 1 species